CCUACGGGUGGCAGCAGUGAGGAAUAUUGGUCAAUGGACGAGAGUCUGAACCAGCCAAGUAGCGUGAAGGAUGACUGCCCUAUGGGUUGUAAACUUCUUUUAUAAAGGAAUAAAACGAGGCACGUGUGCCUUUUUGCAUGUACUUUAUGAAUACGGAUCGGCUAACUCCGUGCCAGCAGCCGCGGUAAUACGGAGGAUCCGAGCGUUAUCCGGAUUUAUUGGGUUUAAAGGGGGCGUAGAUGGGUUGUUAAGUCAGUUGUGAAAGUGUGCGGCUCAACCGUAAAAUUGCAAUUGAUACUGGCAAUCUGGAGUACAGUUGAGGUAGGCGGAAUUCGUGGUGUAGCGGUGAAAUGCGUAGAUAUAACGAAGAACCCCGAUUGCGAAGGCAGCUUACUAAACUGUGACUGACAUUGAUGCUCGAAAGUGUGGGUAGCAAACAGGAUUAGAUACCCUAGUAGUC
rnacentral:rRNA from 1 species